rnacentral:rRNA from 1 species
AAUUUUGGACAAUGGGGGACACCCUGAUCCAGCCAUCCCGCGUGUGCGAUGAAGGCCUUCGGGUUGUAAAGCACUUUUGGCAGGAAAGAAACGUCCCGGGCUAAUACCCUGGGUAACUGACGGUACCUGCAGAAUAAGCACCGGCUCACUCCGUGCUCUCAGCCGCGGUAAUACGUAGGGUGCAAGCGUUAAUCGGAAUUACUUGGCGUAAAGCGUGCGCAGGCGGUUCAGAAAGAAAGAUGUGAAAUCCCAGAGCUUAACUUUGGAGCUGCAUUUUUAACUACCGAGCUAGAGUGUGUCAGAGGGAGGUGGAAUUCCGCGUGUAGCAGUGAAAUGCGUAGAUAUGCGGAGGAACACCGAUGGCGAAAGCAGCCUCCUGGGAUAACACUGACGCUCAUGCACGAAAGCGUGGGGAGCAAACA